rnacentral:rRNA from 1 species
GAAUAUUGCACAAUGGGCGCAAGCCUGAUGCAGCAACGCCGCGUGAGGGAUGACGGCCUUCGGGUUGUAAACCUCUUUUAGUCAGGAAGAAGCCGCAAGGUGACGGUACUGGCAGAAAAAGCACCGGCUAACUACGUGCCAGCAGCCGCGGUAAUACGUAGGGUGCAAGCGUUGUCCGGAAUUAUUGGGCGUAAAGAGCUCGUAGGCGGCUUGUCGCGUCUGCUGUGAAAUCCUGAGGCUUAACCUUGGGCGUGCAGUGGGUACGGGCAAGCUAGAGUGCGGUAGGGGAGAUUGGAAUUCCUGGUGUAGCGGUGGAAUGCGCAGAUAUCAGGAGGAACACCAAUGGCGAAGGCAGAUCUCUGGGCCGUAACUGACGCUGAGGAGCGAAAGCAUGGGGAGCGAACAG